rnacentral:lncRNA from 1 species
UUUAGAAAAGAGCUCAAAACAAGAUUUAGUUGUUGUCUCAAGAGAAAAUUAUACAAAGCUAUUAAAAACUUCUCCAGGAAGGUGCAUGGAUUUUUCUGUCAGAGAGAGCCUCAGCAGCCAGGGAGAAGAAAGAGGUUGACAGUUAAGAAUCCAUCAUGCCUGCAUGAGGAAGCCUGUAAGGAAAUCCCAGAACUUGAGAUUCAGGAGUUUCUGGUUUGCUGGAUGUAUUGAAGGUGCCCAUGGGACAAAGCACUAGGAGAGGGAAUGGAAGUUUUGUCCCUUUCCACAUAUUCUGUUUUAUGGAUUCCUUUGGUGUGCCUGUUCAUCUGCCUCCAUUGUAAUAACCUUUAAAAUAAAUGGGUAAAUUCAAG